GCCCUGCCUGCGGGCUCGGCUGCAGCCGCCGGCCGCGCCGAGACGACGCCGGGACUGGGAUCGGCGAUACAAUCUCCCGCGAACCUCGCCGUGACACCGCCGCCGACAGCACCCGCGGUCUGCCUGGACUAAACCCGCCGCCGGCGCCGUCUCCCCCAGCAACCUCGCGGCAGCUCGAUUUGUACUUUCUGGUUUGCUCUGUCCUGCAGGUUCGACAGUUUGGUAACAGAAGCUGCAUCUCGACCAUCAGGCAAUAGAAACAGAAGCAGGGCUACAGAUUGGCCUUGUGCUUAGCAGCUACAAGUGGUGUGCAACUGUCAUCAGUUCUACUAUCUGUCAAAAUAUUGUGGGUCAUUCUUUUUAUCUCAUCCACAGGUGCAGCAGCGACAGCAGCAUGUCAGCAGUUUUACUAAGUCAUCACUUAUCAGUGUCAUCCUACUGAAGCAUUACGGCUGAAGACUUGAAGCUGGAUGAUUGCAUAUAGACUAUGGAACAAUGUGGGAUUGUAAAGUAAAUUAGUCAAAAUAAUAUAAAAUUCAUGUAAUUGCAUGGAAGAUGGUAGGGAUAUUGGAAAUAUUUAGGUCUUGUGGAAUCUAAUUGGCCCUUAUUGAAAAUUUCAGGUGUGAAGGUACUAUACUGGAUAGUUUUCUAAGUUCAGAUUUGAUUAGUGAUUUUCAGUAAAUAUAUCUAUAUCUUUUCUUAAUUCAGAUUCAAUCAUGGAUUGGGAUCAUGUGUUGUGGCCCUAACAAAACAAUUAAACCUGUAUUUUUUCCUUUUCCAAUUCUAAUGUUCUCAUGUGCUGCAGCCUUCAGCAUUUCUGUCAUAGCUAUAACGGCUCCUAAACAAGAAGUGUAACAAACAGGCAAUCCAUGUGAAGGAUAUUGAACAAUCAAAUUUGCAGGAGAAAAAUCGGAGCUGAGUUAUGCUUUGGAAUGGAGGAUAUAUCCACAAGGAACUAGCAAACACACUAGGUGAGCAUUUAUUCUCCCAAGGCCCCAAAUUGCCUUUGCUAUAUCAUGCCAUAUGCUGCUGGAAAUUAAAUUCCAUGCCAAUGUAUUUUAUGGUAUUGUAUCAUUGUGUUCGGAUUAACAUCUUUGUGUGAGAUUUGCUAUUCCUGUAUAUAUAUAAUUUAGAUUUUGAUCUCAUGAGAUUUUAUUAUUAAUUCUGGUUUGCAGUGGAUUUGGCCAACUAAGUAUAUAUUAGUAGUAAUAUAUCACAUUAUUGUCCCUUGAACUCUCUUGUGUGUAUGCACAUCUAUUGCAGUAAUUGAAUGAAUAGAUUGUGAAA